GUGCCAGCCGCCGCGGUAAUACGUAGGGUGCGAGCGUUAAUCGGAAUUACUGGGCGUAAAGCGUGCGCAGGCGGUUGUGUAAGACAGGUGUGAAAUCCCCGGGCUUAACCUGGGAACUGCGCUUGUGACUGCACAGCUAGAGUACGGCAGAGGGGGGCGGAAUUCCACGUGUAGCAGUGAAACGCGUAGAUAUGUGGAGGAACACCAAUGGCGAAGGCAGCCCCCUGGGCCGAUACUGACGCUCAUGCACGAAAGCGUGGGGAGCAAACAGGAUUAGAAACCCCAGUAGUCC
rnacentral:rRNA from 1 species